GAUGAACGCUGGCGGCGUGCUUAACACAUGCGAGUCGAACGAUGAAGCCGGAGCUUGCUCCGGUGGAUUAGUGGCGAACGGGUGAGUAACACGUGAGCAAUCUGCCCUUGACUCUGGGAUAACUGCGGGAAACUGUAGCUAAUACCGGAUACGACACCUUGGGGCAUCCCAGGGUGUGGAAAGAAUUUCGGUCAAGGAUGAGCUCGCGGCCUAUCAGCUAGUUGGUGAGGUAAUGGCUCACCAAGGCGACGACGGGUAGCCGGCCUGAGAGGGUGACCGGCCACACUGGAACUGAGACACGGUCCAGACUCCUACGGGAGGCAGCAGUGGGGAAUAUUGCACAAUGGGCGCAAGCCUGAUGCAGCAACGCCGCGUGAGGGAUGACGGCCUUCGGGUUGUAAACCUCUUUUAGUAGGGAAGAAGCGAAAGUGACGGUACCUGCAGAAAAAGCACCGGCUAACUACGUGCCAGCAGCCGCCGUAA
rnacentral:rRNA from 1 species